rnacentral:rRNA from 1 species
UACGUAGGGUCCGAGCGUUGUCCGGAAUUAUUGGGCGUAAAGGGCUCGUAGGCGGUUUGUCGCGUCGGGGAGUGAAAACUCAGGGCUUAACUCUGAGCUUGCUUUCGAUACGGGCAGACUUGAGGCAUGCAGGGGAGAACGGAAUUCCUGGUGUAGCGGUGAAAUGCGCAGAUAUCAGGAGGAACACCGGUGGCGAAGGCGGUUCUCUGGGCAUGUUCUGACGCUGAGGAGCGAAAGUGUGGGGAGCGAACAGG